CUGCUGCCUCCCGUAGGAGUCUGGUCCGUGUCUCAGUACCAGUGUGGGGGACCUUCCUCUCAGAACCCCUAGACAUCGUCGCCUUGGUGGGCCGUUGCCCCGCCAACUAGCUAAUGUCACGCAUGCCCAUCCGUUGCCGGAAUCGCUCCCUUUGGCCGCAGGGCCAUGCAGCCCCGCGGCAUUACGCGGUAUUAGACGGGAUUUCUCCCGAUUAUCCCCCUGCAACGGGCAGGUCGCAUACGCGUUACUCA
rnacentral:rRNA from 1 species